AUUCAGCUAACGAGUCCCAAAUAGGACGAAACGCGCAUCCUGGAU
rfam:Trichobilharzia regenti genome assembly, scaffold: TRE_scaffold0087035